rnacentral:rRNA from 1 species
CACGUGGACACCUACCCUUAGGUCGGGGAUAAACCCGGGAAACUGGGUAUAAUACCCGAUGGUCCUCGAAUGCUGGAAUGCAUCGAGGUCUAAAGCUCCGGCGCCUAAGGAUGGGUCUGCGGCCUAUCAGGUAGUAGUGGGUGUAGCGUACCUACUAGCCUACGACGGGUACGGGUUGUGAGAGCAAGAGCCCGGAGAUGGAUUCUGAGACACGAAUCCAGGCCCUACGGGGUGCAGCAGGCGCGAAAACUUUACAAUGCUGGCAACAGCGAUAAGGGGACCUCGAGUGCCAGGUUACAAAUCUGGCUGUCGUGAUGCCUAAAAAGCAUUGCAUAGCAAGGGCCGGGCAAGACCGGUGCCAGCCGCCGCGGUAACACCGGCGGCUCGAGUGGUAACCGUUAUUAUUGGGUCUAAAGGGUCUGUAGCCGGCCGGAUAAGUCUCUUGGGAAAUCUGGCAGCUUAACUGUCAGGCUUUCAGGAGAUACUGUCUGGCUCGAGGCCGGGAGAGGUGAGAGGUACUUC